GAAGGUGUUGAGUUGCCUUGGUAAAGAAUUUAUACACCAUGUGUUCACAGCUUCUUGACAGGGCAGGAGUCAGCCUGAGAGAGAGCACUGGGCAUUCAACAUGUGGGCCACUGACAUACCUGUUGGGAAGAACCAGCUGCAACAAAUGUUAGUAUUGCCCUCAGUCAUGAUUUAUAAUUUAACUGAUUAACAAUUUAUUUUUAAGAAAAGCUUCUUUUCCAUAUUAGUGUGUCUUGUUGAUCAAAUUGCCUACUAACUCUUAAAAGAGCCAUUGUGGUAGGCAGAAUAGUGCCUCCUCGUCCACUAAAUGUUAAGUCCACAUCCUAAUCUCCAUAAACUAUAAAUAUGUUUGAUUACAUGAUAAAGGGCAGUUAAGGUUGUAAAUGAAAUUAAGGUUGCUAAGAAGCCUAUGUUAAAAUAGGGAAAUAACCCUGGAUUAUUUAGUUCAAUCCAAUGUAAUUAAAAGUGGAAGAGGGAUGAGUCAAAGAAAAAAAAUCACAAGAGAAAUUUAAGAAUAUUUUGAACCAAGUAAAAAUAAAAAAUAAAAAUGUUUUGAUAAGUUGUGGGAACCAAAAAAUCAAUCAUCUAUGCUUCUUCCUUAGGAAACUAGAAAAAGGGCAAAUUAUAUCCAAAGUAAGCAGAAGAAAACAAAUAAUAAACAUUAAUGAAGAUUAAUUUUUCAUUAAUAAAAAUUAAUGUGGAAGAAAUCAAUGAAAUUGAAAAUAGGAAAUUAAUAGAGAAAAUCAAUGAAAUCAAAAGCUGAUUAUUUAAAAUGAUCAAUAAAAACCAAGCACUGUGGUGCAUGCCUGUAGUCCCAGCUACUUAGGAGACUGAGAUGGAAGAACUAUGUGAGCCCAGGAAUUUAAGUCCAGCCUAGGCAACAUAGCAAGACCCUUCAUCUCGAAAAAAAUAAAAUAAAAAGACGGAUAAAAUCAAUAAACUUCUAGCCAAGCUAACAAAAAGGAAGAGAAGACACAAAUUAUUACUUCUAUUAGAAAUGAAAGUGGUCACAUCACUACAAAUACCAUGGACAUUAAAAGCAUAGUAAAAAAAUACUAUGAACAACUUUAUAUCCACCAUUUUGAUAACCUAGAUGAAAUGGACAAUUCCUUGAAAGACACAGUCUGGGCCGGGUACGGUGGCUCACACCUGUAAUCCCAGCAUUUUGGGAGGCCGAGGCUGGCGGAUCAUCUGAGGUCGGGAGUUUGAGACCAGUCUGACCAACAUGGAGAAAACUGGUCUCUACUAAAAAUACAAAAUUAGCUGGGUGUGGUGGCGCAUGCCUCUAAUCCCAACUACUCGGAAGGCUGAGGCAGGAGAAUUGCUUGAACCCGGGAGGUGGAGGUUGCAGUGAGCUGCGAUCGUGCCAUUGCACUCCAGCCUGGGCAGCAAGAGUGAAACUCCGUCUCAAAAAAAAAAAAAAAAAAAAAAAAAAAAAAGACACAAUCUGCUAAAACUCACAUGAGAAGAAAUAGACAAUUUGAAUAGGUCUAUAUUUAUAAAAGAAAUCGAAUCAAUACUUAGUAGCCUUCCAAAGCAGGAAGCACCCGACCCUGAUAGGUUCACUGGAGAAUUCUACCAAAAUUUAAGAAAUAAGUUAUACCAAUUGUCUAUAAUUGCUUUCAGCAUAUCAGAUAGAAGCAGAGCGAAUAUUUCCUAACUCAUUCUAUAUGGCCAGCAUUACAUUAAUACCAAAGCCAGACGAAGACACUAGAAGAAAAAAAAACCAACUACAGACCAAUAUCUCUCAAGAACAUAAAUUUAAAAACCCUCAACAAAAGUUAGCAAAUCAAAUCCAACAAGAUUUAAAAAUGUUAAUGACCUUAAUGUCCAUUCAGAAGAGAUUGAUUAUUGUAUACCUAGAAAUUAAAACUUUACACAGAUAUUUAAAAUGUAGACCUAAGUCUACUAAUGUUAACCAUAUUGUUUAAUUUUUAAAAAUCAGGUUAUAAUUUAGCAUGUAAAAUAUGAGUGAAAAUAAGCAUAUAUAUAUAUAUAUAAACAUACAUAUAAACAUACAUAUAUAGAAAUAACAUUUCUGGAGAAAAAACUGUGUACUAAAAUGAAGUGAGAUUAUAGCUGAAAAGUUAAUUUAUUCUUUAUACUUCUCUACUGUCUAAAAAUUUUGCAAUGAAAAAGUGUCACUUUCAUACACAAACAUCAAAUGUAAAUCAAUAGAAAUAAAUUAACAGUUUUGCAAGCACCAAGACAACAACAAAAGUGAAAGAGGGGGACAGAAAACAGCGUUGUGAUGAAGGCAGAGGUCAGAGAAAUGCAAUGUGAGAAGGAUUCCACUACCGCUACUCGUUUUGAAGAUGGAGGAAGGGCCCAGGAAGCAAUGAAUUUUCCCCUAGAGCCUCCUAAAGCCCAGUAAAACUGUGUUGGACUUCUAUCCUACAGAAUUACAAGAUAUAUUUUUAAAAUUGUAUAUUCAAUUGGCAAAUAAUAAUUGUAUACAUUUGUGAUGUACAAAUUUGUGAUGUACAAAUAAAUUUGUGAUGUAUAAAUAUAUUGAAUUGAUGUUUUGAUAUGUUUAAAAUGUGAAAUGAUUAAACCAGAUAAAAUAAUUAACACAUUUUAUCACCACACAUACUUAUUUUUUGUGGUGGAAAUAUUUAAAAGCUAUCCUUUUAACAAUUUUGAAAUAGAUAUUAUUAUUUAACUCAUCAUUCUGUGCAAUAGAUCACUAAAGCUUAUUCCUCCUGUCUAACUGAAACUUUAUACCCUUUGGUCAACUUCUCCCCUUUCUUUCCCCGAUCACCCUUCUCCUCUACCUCUGAUAAUCACUAUUCUACUCUCUACUUCUAUGAGUCUAACUUUUUUUUUUUUUUUUUGAGACAGUGUCUUCCUCCGUUGCCCAAGCUGGAGUGCAGUGGUGCGAUCUCGGCUCACUGCAACCUCCACCUCCUGGGUUCAAUCUAUUCUUUUGCCUCAGCCUCCUGAGUAGCUGGGAUUAGAGGUGCACCACCACACCUGGCUAAUUUUUGUAUUUUUAGUAGAGACAGGGUUUCACCAUAUUGGCCAGGCUGGUCUCAAACUCCUGACCUCGUGAUCCACCCACUUCGGCCUCCCAAAGUGCUGGAAUUACAGGUGUGAGCCACCGCACCUGGCCGAGUCUAACUUUUUAAGAUUCCGCUUAUAAGUGAGACAUGUGGUAUUUGUUCUUCUGUGCCUGGCUUAUUUCAUUUAGCACAAUGUCUUCCAGGUUCAUCCAUGUUGUUGCAAAUGAAAGAUUUCCCUCCCUUUUAAGGCUGAAUAGUAUUCUGUUAUGUAUGUCUAUUUAGCUGAAGCUGGACACCUACGUUGCUCCCUUAUCUUAGCUAUUGUGAACAAUGCUGCAAUCUACAUGUACUGCAGGUAUCCUUUUAACAUGCUAAUUUCAAUUCAUUUGGAUAUAUCCCCAGAAGUGAGAUUGCUGGAUCAUAUGGUGGUUCUAAUUUUAGUUUUUGAGGACCCUCCUCCAUAUUAUUUUCCAAAAUGGCUGUAUUAAUUUACAUUCCCACCACUGGUGCACAAGGAUUCCUCUUACUCCAUACGUUUGCAAACACUUGUUAUCUUUUUUCUUUUUUAAAAUUUAAAAUUUUACUUUUUUUUUUUUUUUAGAGAUGGGGGUCUCACUAUGUUGCCUAGGGUGGACUCAAAUUCCUGGACUCAGGCAAUCCUCCUGCCUCACCCUCCUCCUCCUGUGUAGCCGGGACUACAGGUGCUUGCUACCACAUCUGGCUUUGUCUUUUUUUGAUAACAGCCAUUCUAACAGGUGUGAGGUGAAACCUCACUGUGGUUUUAAUUUGCAUUACCCUGAUUAUUAGUGACAAUGAGCAUUUUUCAUGCAUCUGUUAGCUAUACCUUAGGCUUCUUUUGAGAAAUGUCUAUUAAGUCAUUUCCCCAUUUUUGAUUGGGUUAUUUGUUUUCUUGCUAUUGAGUUGUUUAAGUUCCAUACAUAUUUUGGAUAUUAGUCCUUUAUCAGAUGUAUGGUUUGCAAAUAUUUUCUUCUAAUCCAUGGGUUAUUUCUUCAAUCUGUUGUUUCCUUUGCUGUGAAGAAGCUGUUUAGUUGGGUAGAAUCCUGUAUGUCUAUUUUUACUUUUGUUGCCUGUGAUUUUGGGAAGGUAUCCAAUAAAUCUUUGCCCAAACCAAUGUUGUGGAGCGUUUCUUUCAUUUUCGUCUAGUAGUUUCACAGUUUCAAGUCUUACAGUUAAGUUUCCAAUCAUUUUAAGUUGGUUUUGUUAUGGGGUGAGAUAAGGGUCCAAUUUCAUUCUUCUGCUUUGGAUAUCCAGUUUUCCC
rnacentral:lncRNA from 10 species